rnacentral:rRNA from 1 species
CAUAGCCACGGUAAUACGGAGGGAGCUAGCGUUGUUCGGAAUUACUGGGCGUAAAGCGCGCGUAGGCGGUUACUCAAGUCAGAGGUGAAAGCCCGGGGCUCAACCCCGGAACUGCCUUUGAAACUAGGUGACUAGAAUCUUGGAGAGGUCAGUGGAAUUCCGAGUGUAGAGGUGAAAUUCGUAGAUAUUCGGAAGAACACCAGUGGCGAAGGCGACUGACUGGACAAGUAUUGACGCUGAGGUGCGAAAGCGUGGGGAGCAAACAGGAUUAGAUACCCGUGUAGUCCCUGUCUCUUAUACC